rnacentral:rRNA from 1 species
UUAGUGGCGGACGGGUGAGUAACGCGUGGGUAACCUGCCUUGUACUGGGGGACAACAGUUGGAAACGACUGCUAAUACCGCAUAAGCGCACAGCUUCGCAUGAAGCAGUGUGAAAAACUCCGGUGGUACAAGAUGGACCCGCGUCUGAUUAGCUGGUUGGUGAGGUAACGGCCCACCAAGGCGACGAUCAGUAGCCGGCCUGAGAGGGUGAACGGCCACAUUGGGACUGAGACACGGCCCAAACUCCUACGGGAGGCAGCAUG